rnacentral:lncRNA from 1 species
AAAUUGCUUAAAGAUGAUGAGGACCAACAGUUGCACUUCAGAAAUGGGAAAAAAGAGGCUCAGAGAGAUUAAGUGACUUCUCCAAGGUCGCACAGCAAUACACUUCAGAACCAGAGAAAAAUCCAGGAUUUCUGGCCCCUGCUUCAGUGCUGUUUCUAACUGUAUGUAUGAUGACUACACUUUCUGGACUUACCAGGGGCCAGGGGUGCGCCUCCGCUGAUCUUGGAACUGGGACGACCGAGGGGAGGCAGUUUCCUGCUUUCUCUGGGCUGCAGGUUUUUAAUGUCUUCUUUGUUGGUUUGGGGCCCUGGAGACUGUGCUGAGGGGAGAGUCUUUCAGUUUCUCCCUCAAGCUACCAAAGGACACUCACACCCUGGGUCUCCAUUUUGAGUCGUACAGUCGCUUCAUUUCCACUCAGCUGGCAGGUUCCGUUUCUUUUCUCUUAAGAGGUUUCCUAGCACCUCUGUGGUCCAAACCCACUGACAGCUUUUCCUGUCUUGGGAAGUAUUAAAGCUGGCGAUAGGCCACUGCCCCUGGGAAAAACUUGUAAAGGCACUUCAUCUAGGAAGAAGCAUAAACCAUUUCCAGGUCUGGAAGGUGCAAGUGGGUUAAGGGAAGCCUGUUCAUUGUAUUCCAAGGGGUGGUUCCCGGACCAGGGAUUGAACCCAGGCCUCUGCAGUGAAAGCACCAAAUCCUAACCACUAGGCCCCCAGGGAACUCUGGGGAGCCUCUUCUUUGAUUUGCCGGCUUGGAGCUCUGGCUCAGCCUGCUCAUCACCAUGGAAUGAAGGCCUCAUCCAUCUUCCAGCUUUCAGAAGAGGACGUGCCUGAGGGGAACUGGGGAGCCUCCCAACAGAUCAGGGUUCCCGUGGGCAGGUAGCCCCAGCGAGCUCUCCCUCCAGCUGCUGCAGCCCAACUGCUGAUCUGCACAAUUAGCCCCUUAUUGUAAAUGGUCAAGUUCCCCACUGUCUGCACUGCAUAAGUAAACGCUUACUAGAUCAGCAUAAAUGCAGUGGUAUAGAAUACUAUCUCAUUCUCCAUCUCAUGGGUGUGUCUUGUCUCCCCCAACUAAAUUGGGCAGGAAUCUGGUCUGAGUUUUCUUCUGUCUCCUGGCAUCCGGCAUUGCGCUGGUCACAACAGGAAUCUUGUAACCUCUGUCUGCCUUGAUGAUCCACCUCCUGGAAGUUUGACUCUCCAACACCAGGUCUGU